AUGGCGGCCGCGGGAGACGCCGGCGAGAAGAAGAUGGUGACGCUCAAGAGCUCGGACGGGGAGGAGUUCGAGGUGGAGGAGGCGGUCGCCAUGGAGUCGCAGACCAUCCGGCACAUGAUCGAGGACGACUGCGCCGACAAUGGCAUCCCGCUCCCCAACGUCACCUCCAAGAUCCUCUCCAAGGUCAUCGAGUACUGCAACAAGCACGUCCAGGCCAAGCCCGCCGACGCCGCCGCCGCCGCGCCCGACGCGGCGGCGCCCCCCGCCGAGGACCUCAAGAACUGGGACGCCGAGUUCGUCAAGGUCGACCAGGCCACCCUCUUCGACCUCAUCCUGGCCGCAAACUUCCUCAACAUCAAGGGGCUGCUGGACCUGACCUGCCAGACUGUUGCGGACAUGAUCAAGGGCAAGACCCCGGAGGAGAUCCGCAAGACCUUCAACAUCAAGAACGACUUCACGCCCGAGGAGGAGGAGGAGAUCCGCAGGGAGAACCAGUGGGCCUUUGAGUAG
rnacentral:rRNA from 1 species